GGCAAGGUGGCCGAGUGGUCUAAGGCGCACGGUUCAGGCAAAACUGAACUCUCUAAACCUCAUACAAGGUUUCCGUGUCAUUAAUUUGGCGUGGGUUCGAAUCCCACCCUUGUCA